GACGGGGGGGGCAAGCGUUGUUCGGAAUUACUGGGCGUAAAGGGUCCGUAGGUGGCCAACUAAGUCAGAUGUGAAAUCCCUCGGCUUAACCGGGGAACUGCGUCUGAUACUGGAUGGCUUGAGUUUGGGAGAGGGAUGCGGAAUUCCAGGUGUAGCGGUGAAAUGCGUAGAUAUCCGGAGGAACACCAGUGGCGAAAGCAGCCACCUGGACUGCGCCUGACGCUGACACGCGAAAGCUAGGGGAGCGAACGGG
rnacentral:rRNA from 1 species